GCUGCAGUAGCUCAGUUGGUAGAGCAACUGAUUCGUAAUCAGUAGGUCGGAGGUUCGACUCCUCUCUGCAGCACCA
rnacentral:tRNA from 2 species